GAAGCUUGCAGUGAGCCGAGAUCGCGCCACUGCACUCCAGCCUGGGCGACACAGCAAGACUCUGUCUCAAAAAAAAAAAUUAAGAAAGAAAAAAGCGACGGCGAGACUCUUGUCUCAAAAAAAAAGAAAAAAGAAAAAAGUCGUAAGAGAAAAUAUAUUUCCUAUUUAUGCAGUGGAAGCGGAUCACCAUAAAGAGCUUCAUCCUCAUGGCCUUCACCUUGAGUGGGCUGAGGAGGAGGACGAGGGGCUGGUCUUGUUGUCUUGGGUAGCAGGGGUGGAAGAAAAUCCACGUGUCCGUGAUCAUACAUAGCUCACUCCUGUGUUGCUGAAGGGUCACCUGUCAUAGAAGAGGGAAGAAUUGUGUGGCCUGUGCGGAUUCUGCAUUCAGCCUUGUGUGUUGUGUUACGGUUAACCAGGGACGUGUGCCCCACUAAUAACUCUGAUUCCUGGAAGGAAUGGCAUGGCAGCCUCCGUUGUCAUGGUUCCUGGAGGGAAUGGCAUGGCAGCCUCCGUUGUCAUGGUUCCUGGAAGGAAUGGCAUGGCAGCCUCCGUUGUCAUGGUUCCUGGAAGGAAUGGCAUGGCAGCCUCCGUUGCCAUGGCAAGGCAAAGCCAUGGCAGCUUCCUGGUUAUCACUCCUGGCAUGUGGUAGGUGCUUGUCCAGUGAAAUCCUAGUCGUUGCUGCAUUGGCAGGUGCCCUGGCGUGAGGAAGGGCAGGCAGUCACCAUGCCCUUUGCUCUCCUGGGCCCUGCAUCUGCUUAUGGAUGAGGCUGCGUGUAGCUGACAUGCGUGUCUCUCCUGCAUCUGAGUAAUUGUCGUCGUCUUUUUUUUUUUUUUUUUUUUGAGAUGGAGCUUCGCUCUUGUUGCCGAAGUUGGAGUGCAAUGCCACGAUCUCGGCUCAUUGCAAACUCCACCUCGUGGGUUCAAGCAGUUCUCCUGCCUCAGCCUCCCGAGUAACUGGGACUAAAGGUGCCCGCAACCAUGCCCGGCUAAUUUUUUGUGUUUUUAGUAGAGACGGAGUUUCACCAUGUGAGCUAGGAUGAUCUCGAUCUCCUGACGUUGUGGUCUGCCCACCUCGGCCUCCCAAAGUGCUGGGAUUAUAGGCGUGAGCCACCACGCCCGGCCAAGUGAUUGUUUUAUGUUUAUUCUGUUUUGGGUUGAACUAUAGUUUGCUUGGAGAAAAUAAUGUCUGUUAAAUUUGCGUUAGAGGAUAAUUGUUUACUGAGCCAAAUAAUCUUUCUUGUGAGAACCUAUUCUGGGUUUCCCCUGGGCCCUCUGCUGUGGUUUCGGCGGGAGUUGGUUUGUGUGGAUUUUCAGGACUGCUGACUUGAUCAGACAGGCACAACACAGUCCCGGCCCUCAGGCAGGCCUUCUCCCUGGUCUGAUGCUGAACUGCAUGGCGUCUGUUCAGAUGAAGAUUCUUUUGCCACCUCCUUAAAUGAAAGAACGAUACUGAAUGUGGCUUAGAAACAGCUUUGCCAGCCGUGCAGAAUGAUUGUAAGUAGUGGUUGCCCGAAAAGUAUUUGCUUGGAAUACCACUCACUGAUAACACUGGUGAACCUGGAAGGAAUUAUACGGAGUGAAAAAAGGCACCACUCACUGAUAACACGAAUGAACCUGGAAGGAAUUAUACGGAGUGAAAAAAGGCUCCGCUCACUGAUAACGCGGGUGAACCUGGAAGGAAUUACACGGAGUGAAAAAAGACCCUGCUCACUGGUAAGGCGGGUGAACCCAGAAGGAAUUACACAGAGUGGAAAAAAGACUCCGCUCACUGAUAACGCGGGUGAACCCAGAAGGAAUUACACGGAGUGGAAAAAAGGCCCCGCUCACUGAUAACGCGGGUGAACCCAGAAGGAAUUAUACGGAGUGAAAAAAGGCCGAGCUGAAAGAUCACAUGCCGUAUGAUUUUUUUUUUAUACAGCAUUCUCUAAAGACAAAAAUUAAAGAGAUGGAACACAGAUUCGUGGUUGCUAGGGGUUAAGGAUGGGGGAAGGAGACAGCCGGAGGGAGCCUGUGGUUGGAUUGCCUCAGCUGCGGUGGGCACACACUGCGCGUGUGUCAUGGGAUGACCCCGGGGAGCUUGGUGGACCGUCGUGGUGGGAGAGCCUGGCUGUGAUACUGUUCAUAGUUUUGUGAGAUGGAACCCCUGGAAGCAGGGGGACAAGGUAUUGCUCUGCGUCAUUUAUUUUUAUUUAUUUAUUUUUUUUUGAGAUGGGGUCUGGCUCUGUCACCCAGGAUGGAGUGCAGUGGCUCGAUCUCUGCUCACUGCAACCUCCACCUCCCGGGUUCAAGCGAUUCUCCUGCCUCAGCCUCCUGAGUAGCUGGGAUUACAGGCGCGUGCCACCACACCCAGCUAAUUUUGUUUGUUUUUAGUAGAGAUGGGGUUUCAGUAUGUUGGUCAGGCUGGUCUCGAACUCCUGACCUCAUCAUCUGCCUGCCUCGGUCCCCACAAAGUGCUGGGAUUACAGGUGUGAGCCACUGCGCCCAGCCUGCUCUGUGCCAUUUCUUACAACUACAUGUGAAGGUACAGUUACUUCACGGUUGCUAACUAGAACUAGAAAACUAGAAAAAAAGCAGUUGCUAACAUUUUUUUUUUCUUUUUUUGAGACGGAAUUUCGCUCUUGUUGCCCAGCCUGGAGUGCAGUGGCGCGAUCUCAGCUCACCGCAACCUCCGCCUCCCGGGUUCAAGCCAUUCUGUUGCCUUAGCUUCCCGAGUAGCUGGGAUUACAGGCAUGCGUCACCACACCUGGCUGAUUUUUUGUAUUUUUAGUAAAGAUGGGGUUUCUGCAUGUUGGUCAGGCUUGUCUCAGACUCCCGACCUCAGGUGAUGCACCCGCCUCAGCCUCCCGAAGUGCUGGGAUGACAGGCGUGAGCCACCGCGCCCGGCAGCAGUUGCUAACAUUUUCACACAGCUUCUUGUGGAGAAGGCCCCUUUCCACUGUGAAGUGUGAAUGCGUCAAGGUGGAGCCCCUGCCCCGGAGGCCUCUCCUCUGUCAGGGUCAGCUGUGGCGCUCGGGGCUGCUGUCUUCAGGGGCGGUUUCCAAGUGGGAUGAGCCUGAUGUGGCCCCUGUGGCUGCUUCCUUGAGACUCAGUGGUAUCAGCCGUUUGUUUUUAGAUGACUGAUUGAAGUGAGUUAUGUGAUCAUAAUAUCUAAUUGUCAACAAUUGACUUUUUUUCCUCGAAGAGGGAUUUUGGCAACAAAACUUGCCAGUGGUCCUGCAGGCUGCCGUCCACGAGGUGUGCAUAUGAGGCUCAGGAGGCAUGUGCGUUUCCUGAGCGCCUUGGCGGACAGCCUCAGGAACACAGGCAGCAGGUGCUGAGGUCACACCCCAGUUCUGUGUGAGCUGGCGGCUCGUCUCAGCAUCCUGAAUAACCGUCCUGGAAGCACACAGGAGGAAGGUACCUGCAGCCCUGGGUGCGCAGGCACAAAUGACCACAACACUGAAGGCGUGGCGGGAAGAGGUGCAUCGGGCAGCGCAGUGGAAGGGACGCGCUGGGCGUUUGGGUUGAACAGAAGUUAAGGACUUCAUGGGAAGGAGAUGGGGGGUCUUGCAGGCAGAGGAAGUUCCUUUUAUACCUAGAGUGCUUUUGUUUGUUUGUUUGUUUGUUUGUUUGUUUUGAGAUGGAGUUUCACUCUUCGUUGCCCAGGCAGGAGUGAAGUGGCGCGAUCUCAGCCCACUGCAACCUCCGCCCGCCAUGUUUAAGCGAUUCUCCUGCGUUAGCCUCCCUAGUAGCUGGGCUUACAGGCGCGUGGUACCACGCCCAGCUAAUUUUUGUAUUUUUAGUAGAGACAGGGUUUCACCAUGUUGGCCAGGCUGGUGUUGAACUCCUGACCUCAGGUGAUCCACUCACCUCAGCCUCCCAAAGUGCCUGGAUGACAGUCGUAAGCCACUGCGCCCAGCCCCAGCUACGUUGUGUUUUUUUUUUCCCCCUGUAGAGAUGGGUUUUCGCUAUGUUGCCCAGGCUGGUUUCUAACUCCUGGACUCAAGUGAUCCACCUGUCUCGACUCCCAAAGUGCUGGGAUGACAGGUGUGAGCCAUUGCGUCCGGCUGGAAUUUCUUAUGGUUCGUUUCCUUAGGUUAAAGUUUCAGAAGUAGGAUUUUUGAAUUAAAGAAACUAAAUACUGUCUAUGGCGCUUGAUACAUCUUGCCAGGCAGUUAUCAGACAGGGUUGUACUGGUUUGCGCCACCCCAGAACGUGUGCAAGGCCUGUUUGUGGACCCUCCUUGGCCUGGCUCUCUAGGUCAUCCACCUGCGUGUGCUCACAGAGCAUAUGGAUUUUUCCCUGCGGUGCCUUCACUUGUGGCUGGAAGAGCCUUCUCUGUGAUCCUGUGUCCUGGGUGCUCUGUUGGCCUCCUUCUUGCCACCGAGGAAGACACGGAGGCUAGAGAGGGCUCACUGAACAGUGAAAUGAUUGGAACCUAAGGAGCUUCAGCAGAAGGUGUCAUGAUGGGGCUAGGCUCUCCCGAGGGCUGUGUGGCCUCAGCGUCUUGUUGGGCAGAUCCUGCUCCCUGACACAGCGGGGCUAAGAGCCAGCCUGUGUCACACACCUGUGAAUUAACAUGCCUGGCUGACCCUCACUGGAGAAGGGCUACACGUUUGUGACGAAAGCAGAAGAGGUGUUUAUUGUAGACCAAAUCCAAGCUGUCAUUUUACUUUUAUUAGAAAUUAUUUGGGAUUUGGCUCAUGCCUAUAAUCCCAGCACUUUGGGAGGCUGAGGUGGGAGAAUCACCUGAGCUCAGUCGUUUGAGACUGCCUUGGCAACAUAGUGAGACCUCAUCUUCUACUCAAAUUUAAAAAAUUAGCCGGGCGCAGUGGCGUGCACCUGUACUCCCAGCUACUCAGGAGGCUCAGUUGGGAGGAUCACUUGAGCCCAGGAGGUGGAGGCUGCAGUGAGCCCAGAUAUGCUCAUGAAGCACUGUGGGUUUCUCCUGCAGUGCACCACCGCACUCCAGCCUGGGUGACGGAGAGAGACCCCAUCUCAACAAAAAUAAAAAAGAAAAGAAAAUGGGACACUGUUGAUACAGUCACAGAGCUGAAGGAGCAGCAUGGGUCGUGAUUCUGGAUCGUCCCUCCAGGGCAGCUAGAGUAGCUGCUGGGAAGUAUUUCUCUCAGUUUCCCGGGAGCAGUGUGGGUCGUGAUUCUGGAUUGGCCCUCCAGGGCAGCUAGAGUAGCUGCUGGGAAGUAUUUCUCAGUUUCCCAGUGCACCCCAUGUUUCUAGUAGAAAACACAAUUGGUAAUUAAAUAUUGGAAGUAGUUUCUAACAAUUGGAUACUCACCUGAGAACAUAAAUUUGCUCUCUGAAAUAAGCGGUGGGCUUUAAAUAAUUGCCUUUGUGAAUAUGAAAUUUAAGUAUUAGAUGCACGAUUAGGAUCGAUUGUAACAAAACAGUGAUAUCUAAAAUAUACCUUCAUGUUUUCAAAGU
rnacentral:lncRNA from 1 species